GCACAAGCGGUGGAGCAUGUGGUUUAAUUCGACGCAACGCGCAGAACCUUACCAGCCCUUGACAUCCCGGUCGCGGAUUCCAGAGACGGAGUCCUUCAGUUCGGCUGGACCGGAGACAGGUGCUGCAUGGCUGUCGUCAGCUCGUGUCGUGAGAUGUUGGGUUAAGUCCCGCAACGAGCGCAACCCCCGUCCUUAGUUGCUACCAUUUAGUUGAGCACUCUAAGGAGACUGCCGGUGAUAAGCCGCGAGGAAGGUGGGGAUGACGUCAAGUCCUCAUGGCCCUUACGGGCUGGGCUACACACGUGCUACAAUGGCGGUGACAAUGGGACGCUAAGGGGCAACCCUUCGCAAAUCUCAAAAAGCCGUCUCAGUUCGGAUUGGGCUCUGCAACUCGAGCCCAUGAAGUUGGAAUCGCUAGUAAUCGUGGAUCAGCACGCCACGGUGAAUACGUUCCCGGGC
rnacentral:rRNA from 1 species